rnacentral:rRNA from 1 species
UACGUAGGGGGCAAGCGUUGUCCGGAAUCAUUGGGCGUAAAGAGCGUGUAGGCGGUCCGGUAAGUCGGCUGUGAAAGUCCAGGGCUCAACCCCUGGGAUGCCGGUCGAUACUGCCGGACUAGAGUUCGGAAGAGGCGAGUGGAAUUCCCGGUGUAGCGGUGAAAUGCGCAGAUAUCGGGAGGAACACCUAUGGCGAAAGG